UACGUAGGGGGCAAGCGUUGUCCGGAAUCAUUGGGCGUAAAGAGCGUGUAGGCGGCCAGAUAAGUCCGCUGUGAAAUCUCGAGGCUCAACUUCGAGCUGUCGGUGGAAACUGUCUGGCUAGAGUCCGGAAGAGGAGAAUGGAAUUCCUGGUGUAGCGGUGAAAUGCGCAGAUAUCAGGAAGAACACCCGUGGCGAAGGCGGUUCUCUGGGACGGUACUGACGCUGAGACGCGAAAGCGUGGGGAGGCGAACAGG
rnacentral:rRNA from 1 species